UUGCCGUUUUUCAGUCAUUUUGUAUUACGCACAGGAAUUUGAUACUGAAAAAAGGUAUCAAUUUCCUGUGUGUAAUACAAAAUGACUGAAAAACGGCAAACUUU